ensembl:lncRNA
UGGACCUGGUGGAGCCGGUACUGGUUUUGGACCUGGUGGAGCCAGUACCGGUUUUGGACCUGGUGGAGCCGGUACCGGUUUCGGGCCUGGUGGAGCUGGUACUGGCUUUGGACCUGGUGGAGCUGGUACUGGCUUUGGACCUGGUGGGACUGGUACUGGCUUUGGACCUGGUGGAGGAGUUGGUGCUGGUGGUGCCGGUUAUGGGCCUGGAGGUUAUGCUGGAGCCAAAACGCGUAAAUAUGGACUGCCAGGUGGAGCUGGGGGUGCUCUGGGUACAGGAUCUGUUGGGCUUGGAGUUGGAGGAGGUAUCCCAGGGCGAAGUGUUGGGAUAACAACAGGUGGAGGGGCUGGACUGGGGACUGCUGGAGUGCCUGGUUCUGGUGGAGUGGGUACUGGUGGAUUUGGACCUGGUGGUACUGGAGGAUUUGGCCCUGGUGGAUUUGGCCCUGGUGGAGUUGGUCCUGGUGGAUUUGGCCCUGGUGGAUUUGGCCCUGGUGGGGUUGGUCCUGGUGGACUUGGCCCUGGUGGACUUGGCCCUGGUGGAGGUGUGGGGACAGGAUUUGGACCAGCUGGAUUUGGGCCAGGAUAUGGGACUGGACAGAAGCCAUACAAAUAUACUCCACAUGCGGGGGGUGGUGGAGUCCUAGGAGAAGGAACAGGACGGACUGGCCAGCCUGGUGGCACUGUGCCUAGUGGGGGGAGAGGCAUUGCAGGAGCUACUAAUGCAAAUGGGACAGGAGUGUCAGGGAAUGGCACCAGACCAAUCAGUGGAGUAGCAACUACAGUAAUAGGUGAAUCGCAGGAUGGACUUGGAGCAACAGGGGUCACAACUUCCCCAACAUCAGAAGGGCGUGCGGGUACGAGAGGAAGAGAUGGAAAAGACAGUGACGGAGGUGUGACUGGAGGACCUGUAGGAGGCGAGAAAGAUGGUCUAAUUGCAACAGGAAUUCCGAUACUCGCUGCAAAACCAGGUUCAAGUAAUGAUACAACUAGUGUACUACCUGGAGCUAAGCCCAUUAAACCUCCAGGGAUUCCCAGAGGAGACACUCCAGGUGAAGGAGAUGGUGAAGGUGGACCUGAUGGAGAGAGAGAAUCUGCCCGUGGUCUAGGAGUGACACCUAAACCGGGUCUUGGGGUUGUAGGACGAGGUCCUGGGGGUGUAGGAGGGG